UGGGGAAUAUUGCACAAUGGGCGCAAGCCUGAUGCAGCCAUGCCGCGUGUAUGAAGAAGGCCUUCGGGUUGUAAAGUACUUUCAGCGAGGAGGAAGGCGGUAAGGUUAAUAACCUUAUCGAUUGACGUUACUCGCAGAAGAAGCACCGGCUAACUCCGUGCCAGCAGCCGCGGUAAUACGGAGGGUGCAAGCGUUAAUCGGAAUUACUGGGCGUAAAGCGCACGCAGGCGGUCUGUCACAUCGGAUGUGAAAUCCCCGGGCUCAACCUGGGAACUGCAUUCGAAACUGGCAGGCUAGAGUCUUGUAGAGGGGGGUAGAAUUCCAGGUGUAGCGGUGAAAUGCGUAGAGAUCUGGAGGAAUACCGGUGGCGAAGGCGGCCCCCUGGACAAAGACUGACGCUCAGGUGCGAAAGCGUGGGGAGCAAACA
rnacentral:rRNA from 1 species